rnacentral:lncRNA from 1 species
UUGCACUUGCUGUUGAAGAUCAGGAGGGUUGUGUUUGCGCAUAUGUUUCAUAAGUGUCUGUCUACGAAGAGAUGUUCUGGAGUGGGGCAAAAAGGAACAGAACCUUUAGAAGUCACGGCGGACGCUGAGUUGGCAGACAGAAACCUAUUUCUCUCAAAGACCUCUGAGUGAAGCCAUUACAACCUUGUUCUAGAAUCUCAUAGAAAAUACCUGAAAUCUAGAAUGAAGAGUCACUGCUUAUGGCACUAAUUAUCUCUGAAUGCUGACUCUAGUAACUGAGAACAGGGGAAAGCAGAUGCCAAGCCAGUCACCCACAGACUCCAUCAAGUAAAGACACAGUGGACUGCUGUCUUAAGAGAGAUGGGGGUGGGAGGGAGACGACGAGACACACAAUACUUACUGAUGUAUAUGCCCGACUGCAGA